rnacentral:misc_RNA from 1 species
GAAAUGCGAUAAGUAAUGUGAAUUGCAGAAUUCAGUGAAUCAUCGAAUCUUUGAACGCACAUUGCGCCCGCCAGUAUUCUGGCGGGCAUGCCUGUUCGAGCGUCAUUUCAACCAUCAAGCCCCGGCUUGUGUUGGGGACCUGCGGCUGCCCACAGGCCCUGAAAAACAGUGGCGGGCUCGCUGUCACACCGAGCGUAGUAGCAUACAUUCUCACUCAGGGCGUGCUGCGGGUUCCGGCCGUUAAACGACCUUCAUAACCCAAGGUUGACCUCGGAUCAGGUAGGAAGACCCGCUGAACUUAAGC